rnacentral:rRNA from 1 species
UACGUAGGGGGCAAGCGUUGUCCGGAUUUACUGGGCGUAAAGCGCGCGCAGGCGGCUUUGCAAGUCAGGGGUGAAAUCCCAGAGCUCAACUCUGGAAUUGCCUUUGAGACUGUGAGGCUUCGAGUACGGGAGAGGUGAGUGGAAUUCCCAGUGUAGAGGUGAAAUGCGUAGAUAUUGGGAAGAACGCCGGUGGCGAAGGCGGCUCACUGGCCCGUUACUGACGCUGAGGCGCGACAGCGUGGGGAUCAAACAGG